GAUGAAGAACGCAGCGAAAUGCGAUACGUAAUGUGAAUUGCAGGAUUCAGUGAAUCAUCGAAUCUUUGAACGCACAUUGCGCCUGCCAGCACUCUGGCAGGCAUGCCUGUUCGAGCGUCAUUUCAACCAUCAAGCCCUAGGCUUGCGUUGGAGCCCUGCGGCUGCCGCAGGCCCCUAAAAGCAGUGGCGGGCUCGCUAUCACACCGAGUGCAGUAGAUUACUCUUCGCUCAGGGCGUGUGGCGGGUUCCAGCCGUGAAACCCCCUACUUCUCAAGGUUGACCUCGGAUCAGGUAGGAAUACCCGCUGAACUUAAGCAUAUCAAUAAGCGGAGGA
rnacentral:misc_RNA from 1 species